rnacentral:rRNA from 1 species
AGCAAAACAUGACGCUGGCGGCAUGCCUUCCGUGUAAGUCGAACGGUAACAGGUCUUCGGAUGCUGACGAGUGGCGACGGUAGUAAUACAUCUGGAACGUGCCCGAUCGUGGGGGAUAACGAAGCGAAAGCUUUGCUAAUACCGCAUAAGAUCUACGGAUGACAGCAGGGGACCGCCAGGCCUUGCGCGAACGGAGCGGACGAUGGCAGAUUAAGUAGUUGGUGGGAUAAAAGCUUACCAAGCCGACGAUCUGUAGCUGGUCUGAGAGGACGACCAGCCACACUGGGACUGAGACACGGCCCAGACUCCUACGGGAGGCAGCAGUGGGGAAUUUUGGACAAUGGGCGAAAGCCUGAUCCAGCCAUGCCGCGUGCAGGAUGAAGGCCUUCGGGUUGUAAACUGCUUAAGUAUGGAACGCAAAGACUCUGGUUAAUACCUGGGGUACAUUGACGGUACCGUAAGAAAUAAGCACCGGAUAACUAAGUGCCAGAAGCCGAGGUAAUACGUAAGGUGCAAGCGUUAACUCCGAAUUACAUGGACGUAAAGCGUGCGCAGGGGGGUUUAUAAGACCAGAUGGUAAAGUUCCCCGGGCUCAAGCCUGGGAAACAUGGAUAUUGUCAACUGAAUAAGUUGGAAGUACGGCCAAAAGGGGCAUUGAAAUACCGACAUGUAGCAUGUGAAAUUGCGUAAGAUAUGCAGGGGGAACACAGAAAGGGGAAGGAA